GCUAGGUGCACCCCUGACUGCACUGACAUCUGCAGCUGCCAACGGACACUGCCUUUCUCCAUCACCUUCAAGGGAGAAUCAACUUCAAGAAGGAGAACCCCAAAGUCCAAGGUCUGCCUUGAAGGUGUGCCCUUCCCAUCAGUGCACAGCCCAGGGGAGUGUCAGCGAACCACACAGCACAACCACCUUUGCACUAGUUCUCAUUUACAGUAAAUGACUCCAGAAUCGCCUAUCUGUGAAUCAGCCAGCAGUCUUCCUGUCUGAGAUCUGCUAAUAAUUAUGUGUAUUCUGAAGAACAAUCACAAGGACGUGGAGACUUUGAAGGAUGAUUUGAAAGAAGUAAAGCCAGCAAAAGAUGA